rnacentral:misc_RNA from 1 species
AAGAGUUAUACAACUCCUAAACCCAUGUGAACCUACCUUUGUUGCCUCGGCAGGUCUGCAGCCUACCCUGUGAGGACCUACCCUGUAGGGACCUUACCCGGUAGUUGCAGGUUUUAACCUGCCGGUGGUCUACCAAACUCUGUUUACUAUGUUAUUCUGAAUAAUAUAACUAAAUAAGUUA